rnacentral:piRNA from 1 species
UGCAAAAGCAGAACGGUGAGAGAACCUU